rnacentral:lncRNA from 1 species
AAUGCUGAGGUUGGUGGACAAAUAAAGGCUUCACUCGACUUUUUAUUGAUUUGACAUUCUGGUACUAGAUAAAGGAAAGAGCAAAACAAAGUGCAGGAUCGAGAGAAAAUCGAUUGCUUGAAAAACUGGGUAUUUUACUUGCUGCAAGUCCCGACUGUGUCAGCUGAUGAGUUUAACACUAUGACAGCACAGUCCUCACCUGCCUGCUCGCUGCUGUAAUCCCCACACUGUUGUGUGCCCUAUAGCACCUGGCACACGGGAAGCGCUCAAGAGAUGUGUGUGAAUGAAGGAGCCACAUCUUGACUUGCGACGCGGAGCAGUAAGCUGCAGUUAUUUGGUAGCGGUGGAAGAAUAAAUUCUACCUCCUGCUUGCCUCGCUGCAGUGGGGAUGAGGGAGAGGGGACUCAGCCAGAUGCUGAAUUCCCCAGACAGCUGACAGGUUCCCAAUUUCCAGGACCAGCUGUUCAGGAGCAUCCCGGACGAGAGCCAGGCACAUUUGAGACUUGGAUCCAACUAAAGACCGCCGCAGAUUCUUCUGCAGCAAUGUCGGUGUUAGAAGAAAAUCGGCCGUUUGCUCAACAAUUAUCCAAUGUCUACUUUACA